CGGCGCGGAGAUCCGGCCGCUCGGGGUCGCCGCCUCCGUCGCGGCGAUGCUCAUGUCCAGCGUCGGGUUCGUGCUCGCGACGCGAUGGGCCGAC
rnacentral:tRNA from 1 species